UACAGAGGUCUCAAGCGUUGUUCGGAUUCAUUGGGCGUAAAGGGUGCGUAGGUGGCGCCGUAAGUCAGGUGUGAAAUCUCGGGGCUUAACCCCGAAACUGCAUUUGAUACUGCGGUGCUCGAGUACUGGAGAGGAGAUUGGAAUUUACGGUGUAGCAGUGAAAUGCGUAGAUAUCGUAAGGAAGACCAGUGGCGAAGGCGAAUCUCUGGACAGUUACUGACACUGAGGCACGAAGGCCAGGGGAGCAAACGG
rnacentral:rRNA from 1 species